rnacentral:rRNA from 1 species
UACGGGGGGUGCGAGCGUUGUCCGGAAUCACUGGGCGUAAAGGGCGCGUAGGUGGUCUGAUAAGGGUGUGGUGAAAGCCCGGGGCUCAACCCCGGGUCGGCCGUGCCGACUGUUGGACUAGAGUGCUGUAGGGGCAGGCGGAAUUCCGGGUGUAGCGGUGGAAUGCGUAGAGAUCCGGAGGAACACCGGUGGCGAAGGCGGAUCUCUGGGCCUUGCCUGACGCUGAGGCGCGAAAGCUAGGGGAGCGAACAGG